AUGGCGUGCGUAUCAUAUGGAGAUGCUGUUGGGCACGCCGCGGCAGGUGACCCCAGGCGGCGAGCUGGGGGCCAGCAGUUCGUACGGCAGCACCCCGGCGCCGCACCGGUUCCGCCUGCCGUGGUCGGCGUUGCGCCUCUCGAUGGUCUCCUCGGCGCGGCGCACGUCGGCCGCGAACAUGCCGUGCGCCGCGAGGGCCUCCUCGUCGCCCGUCCACGGCGCCGCGCCCUCGUCCAGGCUCUCGCCCAGGUACUCCUCGUCGGGGGAGUGCGUCGACAGCGUGUCCACCACCGCCAUGAACUUGGUCGCCUCCAGCACCCCGGGCAUCGCGUUGAGGAAGAACCGGUGCGGGUCCGCCAGGAACAUGGCGUACUCCGCCGCGUCGCGCUCCGGGUCCGGCAGCAGCCGCCGCAUCAGCGGCGGCCGGUUCGGGACGUAGCCGCCCAGCGGGUACUGCCCGAAGUUGAGCGCCGCGUGCUGCGCCGACGCGAGCCAGACGAGCGUGGUCAGGAUGUUGGCGAGGUCACGCGGCGUGGACAGCGGCGGCCACCAGGGCGCGUCCCGGAGGUCGGCGUGGCCGACAUGGAUGGACUCGUGGUACCACUCCUGGAGCUCGUCGUCGGACUGGACCGUGCCGGCGUCUGGGUAGUAGAGCUGAACGUAGGACUCCACCCAGUUGCCAAUGGCGGACCACAGCAGAAGCCCGUCGUUUGCAUAAGGGUAAUCCUCGAUGAGAAGCCUGAUGCCGUGAGGCUGUGUGGCGUCCUCCACGGCCACUCCCCUGAGAAAAUGAGGAUGUCAGUGAUCACCAUAGUACAAAUCAUUCUCAGUUGCAAUGUCACAGUGGAGGGUACAUGCCUGCGGAGGAGGUCAGCCGGGAGGCCCUCGAGGUCGAAGCGCCAGUGGUUGCGGUAG
rnacentral:rRNA from 1 species